GCUUACGGCCAUACCACCCUGAGCACGCCUGAUCUCGGAAGCUAAGCAGGGUUGGGCUUGGUUAGUACUCGGAUGGAAGACUGCCUGGGAAUACCGGGUGCUGUAAGCU
ensembl:rRNA 5S_rRNA 5S ribosomal RNA